AUGACUAGGGAUAACCUUAGGAAGAGACACAUCAUCAAACCCCUUGAUUGUGUUUACUGCUUGGAACAAGAGUCUUGUUCUCACCUAUUUUUUGAAUGUAUAGUUGCUAAACAUCUGUGGGCCCACAUUGAGGAAUAUUUCUCUAGUCAGAUUGGCUCAUCCUUCGAAUCUGUCGCCAGAUUCUGGAUUGCUACCAAAAAGUGCUCAGUUUUAAACAUUGUUAGCUCAGCUAUCCUUUGGUGCCUCUGGAAAUAUAGAAAUGCUAUGAUUUUCAGUAACACCUUCUGGAUUUCCAUUCCGCAGAUCUUGAGGUUGAUCAGGAAUAUGGUGAGGAACUGGGCGAUUCUCUCCUCCGGAUCGGACAAGGACAAGUUGAUGAGCUUCGUGGAAACCCUAACAAGAUCCCUCCAGAAACCGUUGGCGAUCACUUGUGGCUGA
rnacentral:rRNA from 1 species